rnacentral:tRNA from 1 species
GCGGGACGGUGCACUGGUGGGCACGCCGGGUUCAUAACCCUGGAGGUUGCGGGUUCGACUCCCGCUCCCGCA